rnacentral:rRNA from 1 species
GUCCACGCUGUAAACUAUGUGUGCUAGACGUUGGCGAGCUUGCUCGUCAGUGUCGCAGCUAACGCGUUAAGCACACCGCCUGGGGAGUACGGUCGCAAGAUUAAAACUCAAAGGAAUUGACGGGGCCCGCACAAGCGGUGGAGCAUGUGGUUCAAUUCGACGCAACGCGAAGAACCUUACCAGCCCUUGACAUGGGAAGUUUGGGUUCCGGAGACGGGACCCUUCAGUUCGGCUGGCUUCCACACAGGUGCUGCAUGGCUGUCGU